AGUGAACGCUGGCGGCGUGCUUAACACAUGCAAGUCGAACGAUGAAGCUCUUGCUUGCAAGAGUGGAUUAGUGGCGCACGGGUGAGUAAUAUAUAGCUAAUCUGCCCAUAAGAAGGGGACAACAGUUGGAAACGACUGCUAAUACCCUAUACUCCUUCUACACAUAAGUGUAGUCGGGAAAUGUUUUUUCGCUUAUGGAUGAGGCUGUACGGUAUCAGGUAGUUGGUGGGGUAAUGGCCUACCAAGCCAAUGACGCCUAGCUGGUCUGAGAGGAUGAUCAGCCACACUGGAACUGAGACACGGUCCAGACUCCUACGGGAGGCAGCAGUGGGGAAUAUUGCACAAUGGGGGAAACCCUGAUGCAGCAACGCCGCGUGGAGGAUGACGCAUUUCGGUGUGUAAACUCCUUUUAUAUAGGAAGAAAUUUGACGGUACUAUAUGAAUAAGCACCGGCUAACUCCGUG
rnacentral:rRNA from 1 species